rnacentral:rRNA from 1 species
AACGAACGCUGGCGGCAGGCCUAACACAUGCAAGUCGAGCGAGACCUUCGGGUCUAGCGGCGGACGGGUGAGUAACGCGUGGGAACGUGCCCUUUUCUGCGGAAUAGCCUCGGGAAACUGAGAGUAAUACCGCAUACGCCCUUUUGGGGAAAGAUUUAUCGGAGAAGGAUCGGCCCGCGUUGGAUUAGGUAGUUGGUGGGGUAAUGGCCUACCAAGCCGACGAUCCAUAGCUGGUUUGAGAGGAUGAUCAGCCACACUGGGACUGGGACACGGCCCAGACUCCUACGGGAGGCAGCAGUGGGGAAUCUUAGACAAUGGGGGCAACCCUGAUCUAGCCAUGCCGCGUGAGUGAUGAAGGCCUUAGGGUUGUAAAGCUCUUUCAGCUGGGAAGAUAAUGACGGUACCAGCAGAAGAAGCCCCGGCUAACUCCGUGCCAGCCGCCGCGGUAAUAC